rnacentral:rRNA from 1 species
AGUGAACGCUGGCGGUAGGCCUAACACAUGCAAGUCGAACGGCAGCACAGUAAGAGCUUGCUCUUACGGGUGGCGAGUGGCGGACGGGUGAGGAAUACAUCGGAAUCUACUUUUUCGUGGGGGAUAACGUAGGGAAACUUACGCUAAUACCGCAUACGACCUACGGGUGAAAGCAGGGGAUCUUCGGACCUUGCGCGAUUGGAUGAGCCGAUGUCGGAUUAGCUAGUUGGCGGGGUAAAGGCCCACCAAGGCGACGAUCCGUAGCUGGUCUGAGAGGAUGAUCCGCCACACUGGAACUGGGACACGGUCCAGACUCCUACGGGAGGCAGCAGUGGGGAAUAUUGGACAAUGGGCGCAAGCCUGAUCCAGCCAUACCGCGUGGGUGAAGAAGGCCUUCGGGUUGUAAAGCCCUUUUGUUGGGAAAGAAAAGCAGCAGGUUAAUACCCCGCUGUUCUGACGGUACCCAAAGAAUAAGCACCGGCUAACUUCGUG